rnacentral:rRNA from 1 species
GACUCUCGGCAACGGAUAUCUCGGCUCUCGCCACGAUGAAGAAUGUAGCGAAAUGCGAUACUUAGUGUGAAUUGCAGAAUCCCGUGAACCAUCGAGUCUUUGAACGCAAGUUGCGCCCGAGGCCUCGGCCAAGGGCACGUCUGCUUGGGCGUCGCACUCCAA